CAGUCGCCGCGGUAAUACGGAGGGUGCAAGCGUUAAUCGGAUUUACUGGGCGUAAAGCGUGCGUAGGCUGCUUUUUAAGUCGGAUGUGAAAUCCCUGAGCUUAACUUAGGAAUUGCAUUCGAUACUGGGAAGCUAGAGUAUGGGAGAGGAUGGUAGAAUUCCAGGUGUAGCGGUGAAAUGCGUAGAGAUCUGGAGGAAUACCGAUGGCGAAGGCAGCCAUCUGGCCUAAUACUGACGCUGAGGUACGAAAGCAUGGGGAGCAAACAGGAUUAGAUACCCCCGUAGUCCCUGUCUCUUAUAA
rnacentral:rRNA from 1 species